rnacentral:rRNA from 1 species
GGCCUUCGGGUUGUACAAGCUCUUUGUGUCAGGAAGAAAAGGUUCCUAAUAAUACUAGGGGCUGAUGACGGUACCUGAAGAAUAAGCACCGGCUAACUACUGUGCCAGCAGCCGCGGUAAUACGUAGGGUGCAAGCGUUAAUCGGAAUUACUGGGCGUAAAGCGUGCGCAGGCGGUUUGUUAAGGCGGAUGUGAAAUCCCCGGGCUCAACCUUGGGAACUGCAUUCGUGACUGGCAAGCUAGAGUAUUGGCAGAAGGGGGGUGGAAUUCCACGUGUAGCAGUGAAAUGCGUAGAGAUGUGGAGGAACACCGA